rnacentral:rRNA from 1 species
CUGGUUGAUCCUGCCAGACCCGACUGCUAUCAGAGUGGGACUAAGCCAUGCGAGUCAACGUAGCAAUACGUGGCAUACGGCUCAGUAACACGUAGUCAACAUGCCCAGGGGACGUGGAUAACCUCGGGAAACUGAGGAUAAACCGCGAUAAGCCAUGAUUUCUGGAAUGAUUCAUGACUAAAACCUAUAUGGCCCCUGGAUUGGACUGCGGCCGAUCAGGCUGUUGGUGAGGUAAUGGCCCACCAAACCUAUUACCGGUACGGGCUUUGAGAGGAGGAGCCCGGAGAUGGGCACUGAGACAAGGGCCCAGGCCCUAUGGGGCGCAGCAGGCGCGAAACCUCUGCAAUAGGCGAAAGCUUGACAGGGUUACUCUGAGUGAUUUCCGCUAAGGGAAUCUUUUGGCACCUCUAAAAAUGGUGCAGAAUAAGGGGUGGGCAAGUCUGGUGUCAGCCGCCGCGGUAAUACCAGCACCCCGAGUGGUCGGGACGAUUAUUGGGCCUAAAGCAUCCGUAGCCGGUCCUGCAAGUCUUCCGUUAAAUCCAGCUGCUUAACAGAUGGGCCGCAGGAGAUACUACAGGGCUAGGAGGCGGGAGAGGCAAGCGGUACUUUAUGGGUAGGGGUAAAAUCCGCUGAUCCAUAGAAGACCACCAGUGGCGAAGGCGGCUUACCAUAACGCGCUCGACGGUGAGGGAUGAAAGCU